GAGUUUGAUCCUGGCUCAGAAUCAACGCUGGCGGCGCGCUUAACACAUGCAAGUCGAACGAGAAAGCCCGCAAGGGUGAGUAAAGUGGCGUACGGGUGAGUAACACGUGGGUAAUCUACCUUUUGGUGGGGAAUAACCCUGGGAAACCGGGGCUAAUACCGCAUAAGCUCGAAAGAGGAAAAGAGAAAUUUGCCGAAAGAGGAGCCCGCGGCUGAUUAGCUAGUUGGUGAGGUAAAGGCUCACCAAGGCGAAGAUCGGUAGCCGGCCUGAGAGGGCACACGGCCACACUGGCACUGAAACACGGGCCAGACUCCUACGGGAGGCAGCAGUGGGGAAUCUUGCACAAUGGGGGCAACCCUGAUGCAGCGACGCCGCGUGAGCGAUGAAGCCCUUCGGGGUGUAAAGCUCUUUCGACCGGAACGAUAAUGACGGUACCGGGAGAAGAAGCUGCGGCUAACUACGUGCCAGCAGCCGCGGUAAUACGUAGGCAGCGAGCGUUGUUCGGAGUUACUGGGCGUAAAGCGUGCGUAGGCGGUGCCAUAAGUCUGUUGUGAAAUCUCCCGGCUCAACUGGGAGGGUGCGGUGGAAACUGUGGUGCUGGAGUGUGGGAGAGGUAGGCGGAAUUCCUGGUGUAGCGGUGAAAUGCGUAGAUAUCAGGAGGAACACCUGUGGUGUAGACGGCUUACUGGACCAUGACUGACGCUGAGGCACGAAAGCGUGGGGAGCAAACAGGAUUAGAUACCCUGGUAGUCCACGCCCUAAACGAUGCAUACUUGGUGUGGGCAGUUCAUUCUGUCUGU
rnacentral:rRNA from 1 species